CUUAAAUUAAUAAAAGUUAAAAACUUUGAACAUUGGAGUUAAUAAUAAAUGCACUCUCCCACAAAAAUAUAUAAUAAUACAAAUUUACAAAGUAAUUAUUUAAAACUUC